GGGUCAGUAGGUUGGUCGUGCCACCGGUACGUACUGGUCUCAAUGAUUCCUCCUUCCUGAAGAACCGUAAUGCCAUUAAUUUGGUGUUGCGGGGAAACAGGACUGUUACUUUGAAAAAAUUGGAGUGUUUAAAGCAAGCUAACGCUUGAAUACAUUAGCAUGGAAUAAUGAAAUAGGACGAUCGAUCCUAUUUUGUUGGUUACUAGGAUUGACGUA
rnacentral:rRNA from 1 species